rnacentral:sRNA from 1 species
GCUCCCAGGCCCCUCGGGAUGAGACUUGGGCAGAAUCUGCCUUGUCCGGUGCUGGCCCAAGUCCCAUCCCUGCCCUGCUCCCUUUCAGAACUGCACCUACUACUGGGGCUUCGCCGCGUGGAUGGCCUAUUACAUCAAUCACCCUCUCUACACUCCCCCUAGUAAGUGGCCUCAGACCAUCCUUCCCUCCUCCACGGUCCCCACCCAGCGGGUCCUCCUCUCAUGGGCUCCCCUCCCUGCUUUCUCUUCAGCCUACGGAGCUCAGCAGGUGAAACUGGCGCUCGCCAUCUUUGUGGUAAGGAGGCUGGGUGUGGGGACGGGGUCAGGGGAGUCUGGGCGGCCCUAGGCUGAUCCUGCUUCUCUGACAGAUCUGUCAGCUCGGCAACUUCUCCAUCCACAUGGCCCUGCGGGACCUGCGGCCCGCUGGUGAGUGCCUGCUGGGGGCAAGGGGACAGCUGGGCUGGGUGAGGGGGUCUGACUUCCUCCUUCUGUCCUGCCUGCCAGGGUCCAAGACGCGGAAGAUCCCAUACCCCACCAAGAACCCCUUCACGUGGCUCUUCCUGCUGGUGUCCUGCCCCAACUACACCUACGAGGUGGGGUCCUGGAUCGGUUUCGCCAUCAUGACGCAGUGUCUCCCAGGUGAGCCUGCCGCCCUCCCUCGGCGGGGCCCUACCCCUCCGGGCCGGCAGCCCCUCCCUGACGCCCGUUCUUUCCUGCAGUGGCCCUGUUCUCCCUGGUGGGCUUCACCCAGAUGACUAUCUGGGCCAAGGGCAAGCACCGCAGCUACCUGAAGGAGUUCCGGGACUACCCGCCCCUGCGCAUGCCCAUCAUCCCCUUCCUGCUCUGAGCGCUCACCCCUGCUGAGGCUCAGCCCCUCACCCCGGUGGCAUUCUGGGGGAGGAGUGGGGCCCACAGCUCUCCAGCACCCGGAAUAAAGCCCGCCUGCCCCAG